rnacentral:snRNA from 1 species
AUACUUACCUGGCAGGGGAGAUACCAUGAUCACGAAGGUGGUUUUCGCAGGGCUAGGCUUAUCCAUUGCACUCCAGAUGUGCUGACCCCAGCGAUUUCCCCAAAUGUGGGAAACUCGACUGCUUCAUUUGUGGUAGUGGGGGACUGCAUUCACGCUCUCCCCUU